UUUAAUGACUGCGUAUCCCCGUAUCAUUGAAAAAUAAUAGUUACCCAUUCUCCUUUUAAACUACUUGAAUAAUUACGUCGUUUUAAUGACUGCGUAUCCCCGUAUCAUUGAAAAAUAAUAGUUACCCAUUCUCCUUUUAAACUACUCGAAUAAUUACGUCAUUUUAAUGACUUCGUAUCCCCGUAUCAUUGAAAUAUAAUAGUUACCACUUCUCCUUUUAAUACUCGAAUAAUUACGUCAUUUUAAUGACUGCGUAUCCCCGUAUCAUUGAAAAAUAAUAGUUACCCAUUCUCCUUUUAAACUACUCGAAUAAUUAC